rnacentral:lncRNA from 1 species
UUGAGAUGUUUUCUGCUUCUCGCUGAAUUCCACUGAAGACAGCAGAACUAAUAGGAAUAAGGACCAGCAGAGCCAAUAUCAUUAGCCAGAUGAUGACAAAAGACACCACAAAACAGCCGUAGGAGAUGCUGUGCUGCUGAAGA